rnacentral:rRNA from 1 species
UUCCUACGGGGCGCAGCAGUGAGGAAUAUUGGUCAAUGGACGCAAGUCUGAACCAGCCAUGCCGCGUGCAGGAUGACGGCUCUAUGAGUUGUAAACUGCUUUUGUACGAGGGUAAACCCCGAUACGUGUAUCGGGUUGAAAGUAUCGUACGAAUAAGGAUCGGCUAACUCCGUGCCAGCGGCCGCGGUAAUACGGAGGAUGCGAGCGUUAUCCGGAUUUAUUGGGUUUAAAGGGUGCGCAGGCGGUCUGUUAAGUCAGCGGUCAAAGCCCGGGGCUCAACCCCGGCCCGCCGUUGAAACUGGCAG